rnacentral:lncRNA from 1 species
UACAUCUUCAUAUGAGACUUGAGCUUUUUCAAUGUAUUUGUUAUGGUUAUGGGUUAUAUAAUACAUGAAACCAUCUCGCAUAUAACGUAUGAAAGGUGUAGGUUAUGGUUAUGGUUUUUGGCUAUGUAUUGUUUUUCUCUUCUUUUUCACAUCUUCAUAAUAAAGAUGCAGUCAAGGUUAUGGGUUGUUGAUUUCAUGAUUUCUUCUUUUUCUUCGUCUUCAUCAUCUUCUUCCAUCUUCACAGAUCUGAACCUUAGCGCUCUGAUGCCACUGAUAUGGUUUUUUGUGUUUUUGUAUUGCGGAAUUUGGUGAGAUAUAAAUUUAGGGAGA